rnacentral:misc_RNA from 1 species
GUAUUAUUAUUCAUUCCUUAUUACAAUGAAUAUACACGCCAUUGCAUAUACAUUGUACAUGUAUUAUAAUUUUACAGGCUGAUAAUCGUAUUGUUAUUAGUUAUUACCUCAUCUACGUGUGUAUAUUUUCUUAUACAUGUUAUGCAACAUCUUUUGUAAUAAACAUGUACAUGAUUAAAAGAUUAAAACUUC